CGUAGGUGCAAGCGUUGUCCGGAAUUAUUGGGCGUAAAGAGCUCGUAGGCGGUUUGUCGCGUCGAAUGUGAAAACCCGGGGCUCAACUCCGGGCCUGCAUUCGAUACGGGCAGACUAGAGUUCGGUAGGGGAGACUGGAAUUCCUGGUGUAGCGGUGAAAUGCGCAGAUAUCAGGAGGAACACCGGUGGCGAAGGCGGGUCUCUGGGCCGAUACUGACGCUGAGGAGCGAAAGCGUGGGGAGAGAACAGGAUU
rnacentral:rRNA from 1 species